CCAGCCGUCACCACCUCAUCAGAUUGCCUGUUGCAGUUGUUGGAGAGAUGUACAGAUGGCAGCAGAACAUGCAGCAUAGUGAAGACUUGACUUCACUGUGAGCAUAACUAUGAAUGGAACAGUCAGCCACAUGUUGGCAAGUAUCCGGUUAGACAAACCUGUCAUCGACAACAGCUUUUACAGGCUCAUCAUUUGUACAAAUACACAAGGUAACACACUUCAUUACUUUGAUACAUUUGAAAACCCAAUAGUGAAACAUAAUGUAUAUAAAUUGGCAUUAUUUGUUUGCUUAUUUUCUACUUCUUAGAUGCAUAUAAUGUCCAGGUCAUAACCUAACCAGGUGGAACCAGCCUGAGCCCUGUGUUCACCAUAUAAUGUCCAGGUCAUAACCUAACCAGGUGGAACCAGCCUGAGCCCUGUGUUCACCAUAUAAUGUCCAGGUCAUAACCUAACCAGGUGGAACCAGCCUCAGCCUGAAGUGAAAUAGGAAGGUGAACACAGUGAUCAGGUUGGUUUCACCAGGCUGAUCAUAACCACCAUUGAUAAUGUAAUCAGUGCUGUGUGUGCGUGUGCGUGUGUGUGAGAGACCAACCAGUAUAUUUGAUCGGGGGCCAGGAGCUGAUCUAUGCUGCUAUUCCCAUCAAUGGGGCUCUGGCAAAGACCUCACCUCCAGCCUCACCUCUUGCCUGCUCACCAAUGGUCAUCGAUGACAACAGAAUUUGAUGGACUGGAGAUGGUUAUGCCAGCCGGCAUCCUCAGUCAUUUGAUGGGGAGACCAUAAUAGG